ACGAACGCUGGCGGCGUGCUUAACACAUGCCAGUCGAACGGAAAGGCCCUGCUUUUGUGGGGUGCUCGAUUGGCGAACGGGUGAUUAACACGUCAGUAACCUGCCCUUUACUUUGGGAUAACUUCUUGAAACUGGGGCUAAUACCGGCUAGGAGCUCCUGCUGCAUGGUGGGGGUUGGAAAGUUUCGGCGGUUGGGGUUGGUAUGGCGGCUUAUCAGCUUGUUGGUGGGGUUGUGGCUUACCAAGGCUUUGACGGGUAGCCGGCCUGAGAAGGUGACCGGCGACAUUGGGACUGAGGUACGGCCCAGACUGCUACGGGAGGCAGCAGGGGGGAAUAUUGCACAAUGGGCGGAAGCCGGAUGCAGAAACGCUGCGUGCGGGAUGACGGCCUUCGGGUUGAAAACCGAAUUCGCCUGUGACGAAGCGUGAGUGACGGUAAUGGGUAAAGAAGCACCGGCUAACUACGUG
rnacentral:rRNA from 1 species